rnacentral:rRNA from 1 species
GACGAACGCUGGCGGCGUGCCUAAUACAUGCAAGUCGAACGCAGUGGGGACGGGUGAGUAACACGUGGGUAACCUCCCAUCAGAGGGGAUAACACUUGGAAACAGGUGCUAAACCGAUACUGAUGGAUGAACCCGCGGUGCAUUAGCUAGUUGGUGAGGUAACGGCUCAUCAAGGCCACGAUGCAUAGCCGCCCUGAGAGCGUGGACGGCCACAUUGGGACUGGGACACGGCCCAGCCUCCUACGGGAGGUAGCAGUGGGGAAUAUUGCACAAUGGGCGGAAGUCUGACCGAGCAACGCCGCGUGAGUGAAGAAGGUUUUCGGAUCGUAAAACUCUGUUGUUAGAGAAGCGGUAUCUAACCAGAAAGCCACGGCUAACUACGUGCCAGCAGCCGCGGUAAUAC